rnacentral:tRNA from 1 species
GCCUCUGUAGCUCAAUGGAAGAGCAGUUCCGUCCUAAGGAAAGGGUUGGGAGUUCGAGUCUCUCCAGGGGCACGA